CUCGCGUAGGUGCGAACAGCCUUAAAAAUCUUGUACUUGUGUCAGGGCCAAUGAAAUGGAAAAAAAUCAUGCAAACACCAAAGCAAGCCAUGAGACAUUUUGUGAAAUUACGUGUUUGAAGUUUUCCGCUAUCGCAAAAAGUUUUUUUUUUUUGUUGCUUGCCUAAAAUGCGGAAAUAACGACGAAAACCGUUAAAGGACGUUUAUAGAUGCGAAGACUACGGGCAUCUGAAAGUGUUACAAUUUUGCAAUCAAACCAACAGUGAAGUAAGUGCUGUUGAUUGAAAAUCCCGGAGUGUAGAGCUUGUGAAUGAAAUUGCUGGCGUGAAUAGACGAAACCGUCGUUUAAACUACAGAACUUACGAUAUUUAAGGACGAUAAUAGGUUCAUUAUUCAUCCAAUCAUUUGAGUGGUGCCAUUCGAACCUGAUACUUGCAUUUUAUAAAAAAAAAUGAAAUAAUUCGUGAUCGACAUUGAACCAGGAUAGUAGCGCUAGUAGUUUUAGCAGUGAACCGAAUAUCUAGGUUAUAUGGCGUUUCGAAGUUUAAUUUUCUGCUGCCCCAAAGUGCAAAAUGUUUGGAACCUAGUAAUUUGACAAUAUCAUGGUAUGUGGUUAGUAAAUUCUGAAUAUAUUUUUUUUAUUCUUUGUCAGUUAUGAAACGGCAGAAAUCAUGAAGACACCAAAGCAAGCCAUGAGUAAUUUAGUGAAUUUUCGUGUUUGAAGUUCUCCGCUAUCGGAAUAAGUUUUUUCCUGCAUGAAAGAAAUUACGGUGAAAUCCUUGAAAAACGGUUUCGAAAUUUGAACUGAAGAACCGAUGUUUUGCCCACUCAAACCAUAAUCACCAUGAACAGUAGUUAUCAAAACGUUUUCGGACAAAAGUCGUCGUCUGUGCCCUAUAAAAAGUUAUCUGCGAAGGAAAGCUUUGAGCGCAGAACUAAGCUAGAAAGCGAAGACAGAACAGUCCGCUGGAACGAGCAAAAGGGAGUUUGAACAAGUAAAACAGUGAAAGGAUAAUGCUAUUGGCACAACCGACGUGCUGAGAAUUUCGAAAAAUAAGCUGCUCCUACGCCCAGUAUCGCUGUUCCGGGUUCUAUACUAGACAAUGCUCAAGAACUUCGCCGAACCUAUCUUGUCGAAUAAAUAGCUCGGGCAGUUUGUAUCUUUCAGACGGAUAAAAUUAUUAUUAUCGAUGACUGUGGAAGCUCUAACGAGGCUACGGACAGAAUGGGUACGAUUGAUACGGCACAAGGAAGCACUUCUGCUAGACGCUGCUGUGUACAAUAGACUCGAAUUCUGCAAUAUCUUGAAUGCCCGCAAUAUCCACGCAAAUCUAUUUUUCCAAUGCAUACACUCAAACACUACGGAUAGGUGAAUCCACAGGACUCGCAUCAUCAUCUGCGGCAGGCCAGCGAGUUGGAGUUCUGCGGAAGAAUUGUGAAUUGUGGAAGAGAAAAAGGUUCAUCAGAUUCUCUGCAAGGAAAAAACUGAAAUUCGUGGUCGUUUUCGGUGGGGUUUUUGGUCUGGGGCCUGCGCUGGUAAAAUGACGUUAAAUUAAAUGUGGAUAAAGUGGAGCUCCUUUUCGAUCAUUAUGUUAACACAGUCCCUGGGCAAGGGUCUAGAACCGUGCGUACAGAGGAAGCGGUUCUGAUUAUUUUGGCUGCACUUGGAGAGAAGCUUGACCCAACGAACCAUCCGAAGAAGUUUAAACAUGUUGAUGCUAUUCCACAAAGUCAGGAUACCGGGAUACAGCAGUACGCUUUUAUUGAGAAAAAGGAAAACCAGUUCCGGAAGCAUCUGUAGUGGCGAAUCAAUCUGCCUCAGGCGAUUUGUUGCGGUUUGAAUGAGGCAACGGCAUGAAUAAGAAAUAAAAGGACUGGAGAAAAUUUGUACGCCCAUCCUGUUUGAAGUGAACUCACUGCGCCCGGCUAAAGCAAUUUGGGAGUACCGAAUUUCGGCUAAAGGUUGAGCAGAAUGCAGGAACAGAGGAAGCAGAGGACGAACAUUAGAAAGCUCGAGCUUCUUCAACAGUUGUACCCGGAUUGUCUUUUGCUUGCUUGAGCCCAGGCUCUGGUCGGUCGGACGAUUUGGAAGAGAGACUGAAAAAGCUACCAGACAUCGG